AUCGCGCAAAGCUCAUCACUACUGAUUAUGACAGGCGUGCAACGGCACAGAUCCACAGAGCACUCUUCAAAUCAUCUACACAGUGGUUAUCCAACUAGGAUUAUAAAGGCACACAUUGACAUAGACCACUGUUGCAGUCAACGACACAGUCGCUAUCCAAGUAGCA